UUAAUAUUUUUUCAUAUAUCUCUUAUCAUAAAUUUUAAUUCAAUAAUGAAUUAAUUCAUCAUUCCACAUGUUUGGACUUCAAACAUUUGCAAUUGUUGAUAGAAUUGCUAAAGAAAUCCAAAUAAUUUUCAUCAAUUUAUGUGCCAUUUGAUACAGAAAUGUUGUAGCUAGAAUCUAAAUACAAAGAAAGGCUUUAUGUCAAGUGAUAGAUUAUCUUGGGUGCUGUUGUCUCCAGAUGGAACAACUAAUCGCAAGGUCAUUGUUUCUUUCUAACUUGGUGCAUUCAUUCCUGUUUGUGCAACAUAACCGGCGAUUGUUCGCUAUUCUUGUGUUCAAUUUGAUCAAUUGUGGUAAAUUCCUAAUGGCUUAGCACCUUCAAUCUUUCCCCUCAACUUUCCUGGUAAUUCCCUCCAAUGUUCUCCACAUUCUUUUGUUUGCUUUGGACAUUUAUUGGAAUUUGCAUUCUAAUUCAUAACUUGAAAUUAGAGCCAAAUUGCAGUAUUUUGAUUCUGUCUUUAAUGGGGUACAUAUGUUUUUUGUUGGUUUUAUAGGGUUUUGUGCAUAUAGAGAAUGUGGAUUGGACAUGAUUUUGGGCAUUAUUAGGUCAUUAUAAGGCAUGCAGUUCAGUGAUAUUACAGUAGAAUUAGAUGAUACCGUUAAUGUUUGUAAUUUACUCACAUGUGUUCUGCACCGUUCUGGUAUUUAAUAUCAUUGAUUUUUACAGAUUCAAAAAGAUUGAUCUCUGAUAACUAUUCAAUAGUGCAUUUUUACAGAUUCCCAAAGAGAACAAUUGUAAAAAGAAAAAAAAGCUACCAUACUUUUUUUUUUCACAACUAAUAACCAUAUGGACUUUCUUGAAAAUCCAAAAGAAAAGAUAACCCACAGCAAAGCACAUGUCAUACCUAGUUCAUCAUUAACUUAUGUUUUCCGUUUUAAGUGAAUCUGUCUGGUUUUAUCUAGUUUUGGUUCAACAAUGGCAUUAUGAAAGAUGGCCAUGUCAUAGAAAUCCCAGAAGAUGGCCAUGUCAUAGAAAUCCCAGUAGAUGAAGUGCACCAAUAGAAACCAUUGUGUACCACAAACAUGGUCACAACAAUUUCAGAACCACCCACUGGCAGAUUCUGCAAUUAUCUAAACUAUUGCCUGCUUCUCAAGAUGUGGAAAAGAGGGAGAGGGAUUGAGUGAGGAGAAGGGGAAAAAAUAUUUAUAUUAAUAUCAGCAAUAAAAUUUUAUUGUUUUUCAUUUAAGUUUGACCCAAACAGACUAAAUUGUUAUUAUUUUCUUGAAUCUGGCUGAAACUUGACAAAAUUAAAAGGGUUGGACCUGUACAAAUUUGAGGAAGGAUUUGGAUUGUCUUCUUCGUUUGGCCCUGUAAAAUGUAAGGUUCAUUUGCUCUUUUGCGAUAUCUGCCCGUGGUAAUCCAUAUAUCCUUUUUGUAUGUAUGAAUUAUGUUAAAAACGUUACCUUUUGGAUGUACCAUGACAUGUAUGCUCAUUUGAAGUUCUGUUAUUUGUAUAAUAGGCAAUUGGGCAUGAGGAAGGCGAAUAAAUGCUUAUUUUGUAUUGAUGCUUUGUAUGUCUGUUAAAAUCUCUGAGUUAAAGUUUGCUUUUAAAAAUAUUUGUUUCUGCUCUUUGAAUUUGCUUGCUUAAUUUUAUAGUAAAUGGAGCUUGGAAUGUGUAGAUGUAAUUUUAUAUGCAAGAACUCUUAACUCGAACUAGGUUUUCGAAAAGAAAAGAUGAGUGCAAACUAGAGAAAGGAUUUUGGUAUAAGCACCCAAUUUAAAUAAAUUUGGUAAUUGGGUUUAGUUUAGUAAAGAAAAUAUCCUUGUUCUUAGUAGCUAAUAUUUGCCUUAACGUUUGUUUGCCUCAUCUUUAGAGCUUCAAGUGUCUUCCUCUCUAUUUAAAGAAACAGCAUAGCAUCUUCUAGUGAUGCAUACAAUCUUCUACAGUUUUCGAAACUUGCAAUUUUGUUCUUGUCUAUGCUGUGCUGUGAUGUAUAAUAUGCAGAAUAAGGGGUUGAUUUUGCUAUUUGUCUCUCAAUUUUAGGAAUUUUCAUGUCAGUUUUUCUCAAUUUUCAUUUUGGUUGAAACUCAACUCUUUACCUCCUUAAAUUUGGUCUCAAAUUUCUCAAAAUGAAUCUCUUUUUCCUUUCCAAAUCAAAUAAAGGUUUUUUUUUAAAAUAAUUUGGAGUUUUUUAAAAAAUAAAUUUAUUUAAUAGCAAUAAAUUAAUGUUGAGAGAUUGAGAUGAGACUAUGUCUAAAAUUGAGGUAUGACAAAUAUAAUUAACCCGCAUCUAGGCCUGUUAAGAAUUUGGUUUAAACCAACCAGGCAGAUCGAAUCGAACCAACCCGAUUUGAUUUUUGAGUUGAUUUACUGAUUUGGUCAGGUUGGCAUAUUUUACUUGAAGAUGUUUAUUUUGUGUCGGUCAGUUGAUGAAAUUAUCCAUCUUUACUUGGAAAACGUCUUCUUAUGCCCUCAUCUUUAUCUUCUCAAAAUCGCCUAUAAUCUGUCCCACUCCCACACCACGCUGCUGCUGCUCUAGUGCCGAGGAAUAUUUUGGCAUGGGAUGGAUCUUCUAGGUUGUAUUAUUGGGGAUUCUAACUGUCUGCAUUGCAUUUCUAUUUGGCUUGAAAGACCUGGAUGCUAGGUUCGAAAGGAGCAGAGGAUUUCUGAUUUUGCGCUCAAAUCUCCGUUCAAGAAUGUCUCUCUUCAAAAUCUGGCUAUCUGUAGUUGUCAGUCUCAGUAUUUGUAUGAAGCCCACAAGCUGUUCGAUGAAAUUCUUGCUGGAGACAUUCACGCCUGGCCUAUUUUGAUAUUGGGUUUUGGAUUAUUUGGACUGUUUACUCUGUUUAUUGAGUUUUUCAGUUUGCAUGGUAUCAAUAUUGAGUUUUUGAUAACUUCUUGUUUCUUCAAUUGGGUUUUGCAAGAAACCAUAGGUUGUGGGUGGAAACAAAUGCCUGUUAAUUGAAGUCAUUGAUGAGGACGGACUCCCUUCCAUUUGGACCCAGUAGAAUUCAAUCUCUCUGAAGGCAGCAUUAUGGCUAUAAAUUUAGGUAAGAAUAGUGAGUUGUUAUUCUGAUUGAUUUGGAUGAGAUGAUAUUUAGUAUGUAUUUAAGGGAUAAAGGUUUUAUGAUAAGAUUUCCAAAUUGAUAUAAUUUUAUGCGAGUAUGAUUUAUGGAGGUUAUCCAAAACUGGCAUUACAUGAAGGGCAGCUGUUUUCAUCAAUGGAUGAUUGCAUUUUUGUGUUUUGUGGUCUUGAGUGGGUUUUGACAUCUAGGCUUAGAAUUAUGGAGGUUCAAUUUGUGAUUUUUCAAUCGGUGGGGAUAGACUCUUUGCACUUCAUAGCGAGGAAAAUGUCUUUAAUAUAUGGGAAAGUCCACCUCCACCAAUUUUAUGAUUCAGAUUAUAAGGUGUGCUAGGUUUUUCAGUUAAUGUUUCUUUCAUUUUGAUAUGAAUAAUUUCUUUCCCUUGUAGAAGAUAAAGGAUGAAUUCUGGUUAAACUUUUUAGGGUUUAUUUAACAAGAAUCAUGCAUACUUUUAGAAAUCAAAUUAUUUAGUUUACUCUUUAGUUUAUUCUUGAAGAAAUUUGCAGUACCUGUUUUAAUGAUAUGUAUUUAGU